GAUAGAAAAGCAGGGCCAUAUUUUUCAUAUUGAAAUUUAUAACCAAACUUUUAUACAAACCACAAACCAGAACACUUCACAUCUUUUUAUUCUAAACUCUAUUCACAUCAAAAUGGAGAUAUCAAAGAAGAUAAAGUUUCAGUCCAUCUUGGCCGUACUCACGGCCCCUCUCGAGAUUGUCUUCUUCUCCCACAAAAAUCCUUCUCCAACUCUUCCUCCUCAGCUCCUUAGCGGGGUCCUGAAAUGGUUUUCCCCAAACUGGGAUGAGACUACGUCUCAGCGAGUUCUACCCCACUAAGCCCAAUUAGUAAACCAUUAUACUAAAGGCUGCCUAAACACGCAUAGGUCAGAAGACAUACCUUAGCAUCAGAUCCCACCUGCAAGUCAGUACAAUUCACAAUAGGCACUCAAGCAAUCGUAUCACCGAUCAAAGCAUCGAUCAAAUCGACCUAGUCAAUUACAAGCCAACAAGACCACUCACGGUCAUUCCCAUUCAGUCAAUCAAUUCACAACAUCAAAUCAAAACAAUGAUCAAUCGACCUCGUCGAUUACAUGUCAACCUGACCAUUUCCCGGUCAUUCAAGCUAUUGCUAUUCAGAGUCCCACUCAGCAACAUUCAAAUAUUUAAUGGCUUUACGGUCCCACUCGACCACUUGCAAGAUUUCAAUGGCUUUACGGGUCCCACUCGACCACUUUUCGAGAUUCAAUGGCUUUACGGUCCCACUCGACCACUUGCAAGAUUUAAUGGCUUUACGGUCCCACUCGACCACUUGCAAGAUUCAAUAGCUUUACGGUCCCACUCGACCACUUUCAAGGUUCAAUGGCUUUACGGUCCCACUCGACCACUUGCAAGAUUCAAUGGCUUUACGGUCCCACUCGACCACUUUCAAGAUUCAAUGGCUUUACGGUCCCACUCGACCACUUGCAAGAUUCAAUGGCUUUACGGUCCCACUCGACCACUUGCAAGAUUUAAUGGCUUUACGGUCCCACUCGACCACUUUCAAGAUUCAAUUUGGCACAAUUCAAAGCUCAAAUAAAUAAACAGACUGCGCCACGACAAUCGGCACGAGAUUUCGGUCAUCGGCCAUCUCAAUUUCAAUUUCCGAAAAUAAUUAAUUUAUAAAUAUUAAAAAUUCCAUUUAGCUCAAAAUAACGCCCAAUUAAAAUAAACGGACUUCACCACGAUCAUCAGCAUAAAUUUCCGGUCACGGGCCAUCCCAGUUGAAUUUUCGGGAAAUAAAUAAAUAAUUAAUUAAUUUCGAAAAUUAAAUAAUUAACAUUAAAAAUCUAAUUUAGUUCAAAAUAAAGUCCGAUUAAACAAACGAACUCCACCACCGUCAUCAGCGUAAUUUUCCGAUUCCUGGCCAUCUCAGUUGAAUUUUCGGAAAAUAAUUAAAUAAUUAAUUUAAUUUCGAAAAAUAAUAUUUAAAUGCCAAUAAUCCCACUUAGGCCCGAAUCGCCAAAUUGAAGCCCAAUUAGGGGUCGGAAAAUUCCCGAGAUGCUUCCAAUAAAUAGUAGACCACGUCUACUUGUUAAUUGCACAAUCAAUUUAUUUAAAUCGCAUCACAAUUGACUAAUAAUUGCUAAUUUAUUCUAAUCUAACAACCUAAACAUAAUUAAUUAAAACUAAACCAACCUUAAAGCAUAAUUAGCAACUAAUCCGAGAUUAGUGAGAUUACUCACCAAAUCACGCGCAAAUCGGAUCAAUCCGACGGGGGCGACGCGAGGAACGAAACUUCCCAAAGCACGGCUCGGGUUCGGGGCCCGGAAACAGCCCGAAACGGCCCACGAACCGGCUGAAACCCACUCGCGGGUUUGAUGGAUUGGCUGCAAAACAGAGAGAAAGAGAGAGGGUUGGGGGCGGCAAGAGGUCGGGAGAGCGGGCGAAGCUCCGGUGAGGCCGAACGGCGGCUCCGGCGGCCUGCUCAGCCGCUCACGGUGGCUGAACAGAAACCAAACGGGAGCUGGGUCGCACGGCAAGGACGGAAAGCGUAGGCGGCGCGUGGGCGGCGAACGGCGGACGUGCGGCGUGCACGGGCGCACGGUGCGGCGGCGGGACAGGCGGCGACGGUGGCUGGCUUCUGCUUCCGAUCUCCUGCAGCUUCUGGUUCGCUCGCUUGCUUCGAGAAGAAGGAAGAAGAAAGAGUGACGAGAGAGAGAUUAGAGAGGGGAGGAGAGAGGAUAAGGCUUGACCGGUCAAAAUGAAAAGAGAGAGAGAAGUCGGUGGGGGAAAGCUGUCCGCA
rnacentral:lncRNA from 1 species